CCCUGGCUUGAUUGGGAGACAUGUAUUCUAGUCACUGCUCCCCUAUUAAUAGGUCUGUGAUUUGGGGAAGCUGCUUUGGCCUCUGGAUUGAAAAUGCCUCUUCAAAACUGCCAACAGAGAACUUCUCUCCUUUGAGUGAGUUCAAGAAGAUCACCACAGAACACUGCAUUCCACUGUGAAAACAAACCUGGAGGCCAAAGCGUAAGCACUUGCAGUUGGAGGGGCCUCUCUCUUGUGCCGAAACGAAACCAUACUUCUCAACCUUUUCACCAUGACCCCAAGAAUGCUGAGCUCUGCCAGCCUGAUUUCCUUCUUACCGCUGUGCUACCUGUAACCAACCUGCCAACACUGAAGAGCUCUAGUUGGCUCCAUGGAAUGAAUAUCUGUCUCUGCCACUUGACUGUGAGUUCCUCCAGAGCCCGGGAUAUACCUUACUCAUGUUAGUGUUCCAGCUCGUCCGCAGAACUAAGCAGCUGAACACUUUG